rnacentral:misc_RNA from 1 species
UUUCCGUAGGUGAACCUGCGGAAGGAUCAUUAAAGAGGAUAUGCCCUUCGGGGUAGGUCUCCCACCCUUUGUUUAUAUUACCUUUGUUGCUUUGGCAGGCCCGUCUUCGGACCACCGGCUUCGGCUGGUCAGUGCUUGCCAGAGGACCCAAAACUCUUAUUAUUAAUGUCGUCUGAGUACUAUAUAAUAGUUAAAACUUUCAACAACGGAUCUCUUGGUUCUG